UAGACCAGACUCUAGGUAUACCCCACGCAGCACUCUGCGGAGCUCACCCUAGGUGCCUUCUUUCUUUCCAUGAAUGUCUCCUCUUCAGACCCUCUUUGUUGCUACUUCACACAUAUGCCCAGCUACAUGACCCUUUCACGUCCAUGUCCCUCUACAAUGGCUCCCUCACCUCUAUGGUCCGUUACAGUUUCUCUCCACCCCCUCAGCUCUCUGACCCUCUAUUAUACAGUUCCUCACUGCGCUUUCUCUGCAUCAUCUCCUCACCUCUACUGCCCCUCCACAGCAUCUCCUCGUCGUCCUCACCUCUAUAGCCAUCGGCAUCUUUUUUGUAGUCCCUUUGCCCUAGGCCCCGACUAGAGACCCUUUUCCGCUGCUCCUUCCCCUCACUGGGACCUCAACGCGGCGAGAGCGCCCUACACGACUCCUGCCAAUUCCCGAGCCCAAAGGAAUACCGGUCUCUAUCGUUCCCCGUGUCUUCACUUUGCCCUACUACUCUGAGCUCCGCCGCGCCGCCCCCGGCCCGGAGUGACCACUCUCGUCUCCUGCACUUCGCCGGCAACGUGAGUCUCCCGCGCACGCUACUCGCCUUGACCUCGGAAGCAAAACUCCGUGAGCCGUCGUCCCGGAACCGGAAGUCUCGAGGUUUAGUCCCGCCCUCUCAGCCGCUUGGGUUCCGCUGCCGCUUAGUAGUAGCUAUGACUGCGCGCGGGACUCCGAGCCGAUUCUUGGCCAGUGUUCUCCACAACGGAUUGGGUCGCUACGUGCAGCAGCUGCAGCGUCUGAGCUUCAGCGUCAGCCGCGACGGCCCCUCGUCUCGCGGCGCCAGGGAGUUCGUGGAACGGGAGGUGAUCGACUUCGCCCGACGGAACCCAGGGGUCGUAAUAUAUGUGAACUCGCGUCCGUGCUGCGUGCCCAGAGUAGUGGCCGAAUACCUUAAUGGGGCUGUGCGCGAGGAGAGCAUCCACUGCAAGUCGGUCGAAGAGAUCUCGACGCUGGUGCAGAAGCUGGCCAACCAGUCGGGCUUGGAUGUGAUCCGCAUCCGCAAGCCCUUCCACACCGACAACCCUAGCAUCCAGGGCCAGUGGCACCCCUUCACCAACAAAUCGACCACGUUCCACGGGCUACGCCCCCGAGAGGCCCAGGAUCCUGCCUCAGCCCAGCUGCAAGCACAGUGAAGAGGCCCCACCAACUGCAACCCCAGGCUUUGGACUGGUUCUCCAGUAGAGGUGGUUCUUCCUCUUUGGGAGUCCAAGCCCACGACACUGGCCUGAGACUGUCUGAAGCUGCACGGCAGAUCCUCCUGCCCGGCUGCCCCGACCCAAUAUCAGCUCAGUCAUCUGACCUUCCUUGGGGAAAUACCCAUUACCCUCCUGAACCCUUGUCAUCCAACACUUGGCUGAAAGCUCCAGAGCUGGACCUCCCCACAGUGGAUCCUCUCUCAUCCUCAUUGACCUCUGCUCCAGCCCUUAUGCUGUCCCCAGUUCCCUGCCUCCCCACGGUCCCUACACUGACCACUGUGUGCUCAGUGUGAAGACUGCAUAGAAGUGUGUACGGCUUGAGGUAUCAGCAUCCAGGCUGCAGACCCCACGCAGUGUCUCAUACAGUGGAAUGUGGCAGAUGAGACGGGCUUUCAGGAAGGAUGUCCACUUUUUCUGCAGGAUCUUCUUCCCUCCCAGGUCUCCCUGGGGAGGUAGAGGCAUGGGAUAAGGGACCAGGGUCAGAGGUCCAGACUCCAUACCCAUGCCCCAAUGUCAGCCCUAUCCACCUUGCAGACGCGAGCCACACGGGCCACACGGUGGCUGCCGCGGCUCUGAGUGAAGCUGCCAGAGCCCUCCUCGGUGGCACGCUCCGUGAAGAAGUAGUAAACCUUGUCAUCGUCA